AACGUAGGAGGCAAGCGUUAUCCGGAUUUACUGGGCGUAAAGCGUGUGCAGGCGGUUCGGCAAGUUGGAUGUGAAAUCUCCCGGCUCAACUGGGAGAGGUCGUUCAAUACUACCAAACUUGAGAGCAGUAGAGGAAGGUGGAAUUCCCGGUGUAGUGGUGAAAUGCGUAGAUAUCGGGAGGAACACCAGUGGCGAAAGCGACCUUCUGGACUGUUUCUGACGCUCAGACACGAAAGCUAGGGUAGCAAACGGG
rnacentral:rRNA from 1 species